UGAUGAUGAUACAUGUUGGUUUUCUUAGUUUGGUUUGCUUUUUAUGUCCUUCUGCGACUUUGUUUUUAGACGAGCAUCUUUUUUCCUUUUUAAGAUUAUUGGGCUUUCCUUAAAAAGGUUUUAACGAGGCUCAAUCCUUAGUAUGCUUCUCUAUGUUUUUAAGGGUUUUUUUACACUUUCUUUUUCUUUUUUCUCUUUUUUAAUACAACCUUAUUUAAUAAAUUUGUGAUGACGACUAAUAUUAUUAUUACAUAUUUAAGUUAAGAGGAUAAAAUCAUUGGGUUCGAAAAUCGGCGGUUAACCACC
rnacentral:lncRNA from 1 species